UGACUCUUGGUGGACACAGAUGACUUGCUGUCCUGUUUCCACGUGCCAAGAACUAGUAUUACAAGGGCAGAGAAGAGCUAUAAAAGGUGCUAGAGAAACCUUCCAACACCCACACCCGCACCCUGGCGCUGGUAAACACUCCAUUCACACCUGACGGAAGGAGCAGUGAACGCGCCUCGCCCACGGCACCCUUCAGACAGCUCUUCCCUCCGCUCAAAAGACCUGCUGACGGGUUUGAGUUGCUGCCGUUGUCCGUUCUGUGUAGCUAACAGGGAGCUCCGGGGCGGGGCUCGGCAGCGCCGGCGGACGCGGUGCGCGGGGUGCCGCUCGGGGGCGGUCGCUGUGCCGCCGUUGCGGUCCCCGCGCAGCCCCCGGGAAUGCGCCGCUCCCGGAGCAGAUGAUCCCCGGGCAGAGGAACAGUUUCGCGUGCAGGAGGUUCGGGGCAGCCCGUGGUGCCUGGAGUGCAGCAGGCCGAACUCAGCUUCUUUGUCUACUCUUGGUUUGGUUGUUUGGGUUUUUUUUUUUUUUCAAACUAUGUGUUCUCAGGACAUAUAUGUUAGAGUCCUUAGGUGCAAAAUUUCUCUUGACAUGGUGCCGGAGAUCAUGAAUUGCUUCUAAAAUGUUACAAAUCUAGAGAAUAAAUUUCCAGGUAAAUUUUUACUUCUGGAGUUGGAAGAGUCUUGAUGUGAAUCAGGUCUGUGCCACCUUAUUGGGUGUUUCAUCUAGAAGCCUUGGACAUAACGUUGUAAUUUGGCCAGUUUCUCUCCAUUCUAUUAAUUGGAGCAAACAGUGUCUGAAUAAAGUCUAUCAGAGAAACUAGGAGUAAACACAA